CGGCAAAGAAAAUGGCAACAUCAACGCCAGCAAAAAGGCAAUAAAAAACCGAAGAAACGAGGUCAAAGCAACGGUAACGGUAACGGCAAAGAUUCAGACGAUGAUUUCGUGUCAACGAAAAAAGUUUACAAUUCGCCGCCAAAGCUUCCGAAUGUGGCUGCAGUAGGCCGACGAAAGAACGUCAUUCCGAAGAAACCACCCGUCAGUAGCAACGUUAACGUUAACGUUCUAGAUUCGCCGCCGAAGCUUCCGAAUGUGGCUGCAGCUCCGAAGAAACCACCCGUCAG